GAAAUAUAGUUGUUCUCUGUUCCCCCUAAAAAGAACCUAGAGACUCCAAGUGAAGCUUUGCCCCGGGACUCUUGUCUUCUCGUCCAGGAACUCCAAGUAUUAGCUUUUGCUGAACUGGACAUUUGCAUGCACUCAGGAAGUGGUACCGAUUGUGGGUGUGACACCUAGAGUUGGAACCUGAAGGACACCCGGCAAGUUAUAGGCACAGAGCAGGUUUGGGGUGACCCGAGAAGCAAGCUUUGGGAAUAUACUCCAAUACUCUGUCUCGUUCCCCAUACUUCCCACCAAGAGCAGAAAUGGUCCUAAGGUACCCCAUGUUGGAAAGCGCAACAGAAUAUAGCCUGGCAGAACAGUAGAUCAAAGAACAUUUUAGCUGGAAGCCAGGCUAGUCUCAUAGAGAUACUCAAGGUGGGAACAUACACAGGCUCAGACGGAGAGGAGAACGAAGAUGCCUACACUCAGAUCAAGGGUAAAUUCAGAGUCUGUUUGUCUAUACAACUGGCAGAGGACAGAGGAAGAAGCUGGAUCCAAACGGUACAGUGGAGUUUCAAGGGCCCUGGCAUUAAAAUUAUGCAGCCUCGCAGCGCCACCUAGUGGUUUCCAAAGGCAAAUCGCUUUUUCUUUUAGGCUAUCAACUAUGUUUUUAAGUUCAGUUGGCAACCUUUGAUUAUUAUCAUUGUUGUUGUUGUUGUUAAUUGUUUAGGUGUAGGCAAGUCGUCUAUUGAACUACUGUUUAUCGUGUGCCUCUUACGUGACAGACUCAUCCUCAAGGACUCUGGUUGUUGAAAUAUAAGGUUAAAAAUAAAUUUCAUGAUGUCAAAGUGAAAAACAGACAGCUUGGAGCAUCCCUUGGUCAUCAACAGAAAUUUCUGCACACUUCCGCAGACAAGCAAAGAAUUUCAGAGAUUGAAAUUCUCAGAAGCCAUAAACUAAUGACUUAUUGUGGUUUGAGUAAAUACAAACGGGCAAUUUGAACAGGAGCAAGCAGAAGUGAUCCAGCAAUAACGUGCAACAUGCGCCUAACCAUGACGCCGCAGGAGACUGGCAGGGUUUGUAAAAGGACAGUUUCAGAGGCUGGCAAGACGGCUCUGCAAGCAAAGGCAUUUGCUGCCAAGCUCUCCUCCUUGAUUGAUUUCCAUCUCUGGGAUCCACACGGUAUUAGGAUUCACAAAUAAUUUAUUAUCUUGGAUAAAUGCAGAAGAAAAAUGAAAGAAGGAGGAGGAGGAGGCGGAAGAGGAGAAAAGGAAGAAAAUUUAAAAAGGCAAAAAGGGGUUGGGGGAUAAAAGCUUCAUCAAGGUUGUGAGAAAAAAAUGUGGAGUUGCAAAUCACAUUGGCUGGGAUGCAUAUUAGGCCUUCCAAAGUCCCCUGGGUCCUCCUGUUUUCCUUACCUUCUUCCAAAAUGUUUGUUCCAGAGCCAGCCCACAUCAAAGGGGCAAGGCCACUCCAGAAACCCUUGCCCAGCUUUCUAUCUGCCUUCUAAUGGGCCUUCACUCUGUCACAUGCAUGCAUACACAAAAUAAAACAAAAUAUGCCAAAAAAGUGAUUUUA